AUGGAACCGCUGAAUCAAAGAGGAUACUUAGAAUGCAAACAUUUUGGAGAUGAGAACUCAAUUAACCUUCAAUCUGGCAGCAGCUUCGCAUCAUAUCAACUUCAUGGAGAAAAAUUAACUUCUAUGUUGGACUCGCCAACCAUGGACUUGGCAGAGACGCCCUGCGGCUUCAGCAGGGUGGGAUGGUCGGCCACUCCCUGCACCAGCCCCGCGGUGGGGUUUCCUACGACGCCAGAGAUGCCCUGUGCCAACCCCAAGGUAGGGUUUCCUGCGACGCCAAAGACGCCCUGUGCGACGCCGGCGAACAACUUCAGUUUGCCGCGUUGCCACGGGCUCUUGCAUUGUGGAACCGGCAACAUCGGCACCUCCACCAGGAGACCCGACCAUGGAGGAAAACGAGGAGAAGGCCGGGGUGAGCUCCUCCAUGGAAUCGGCAGCGUCGGUUGUGGCCACGGCCAGAAGGGGAACUCAUGCUUGUUGUGGAACACGUGGGUGACGGCCACGGCCGUGGGGUUGGCCACGCCGACGCCGGUCCUGCCAGCCGCGGCGGCGGCGCGCAGCCUGGUGUGCCCGUCGAGGGACGCCACCUCGGCCGGCCCCACCCCGCACGCGGUCGCGCAGACCUGCCAGAGCGGGAAGUCGAACGCCUCGGCCUCGACGACAUCGGCGCGGGAGAAGACGAACGCCCCGCACGCGGCCGCGCAGACCUGCCAGAGCGGGAAGUGGAACGACUCGGCCUCGACGGCGCCGACCUGCCAGAGCGGGAAGUGGAACGACUCGGCCUCGACGGCGCCGGCGCGGGAGAAGACGAACGGAGGCGAUGGUGACGUCUUGAGGAGGAGGAUGGAGAGGGCANNNNNNNNNNAGAUCGGGGAUUGGGGUCCGGCGGCGGUUGCGGCUGGAGGCAGGGAGACGAGGGGAAUCUAG
rnacentral:rRNA from 1 species